rnacentral:rRNA from 1 species
UUGCAUCGAUGAAGAACGCAGCUAAUUGCGCGUCAACAUGUGAACUGCAGGACACAUGAACAUCGACAUUUUGAACGCACAUUGCGGUCCUCGGAUACUGUUCCUGGACCACUCCUAGCUGAGGGUUGUAUCAUUUUCAAAGACUGCUCGGUUUCUUUAUCAUUAUCGGUUUAUCUAUGUAAUAAUAGAGAUAAUGAAAAUGGGAAUGUCGGAGCGUGUUGAGUGUUUAAACGUGUAUGCAGCAAGCCCAGCAACUUAUUUUUUUUUAAGUUGUAUGAUGUUGCAAUACGCGGCAUUCAAAAUAGUUAUGACUGAGAAAUUUAUUCAUUGUGACGAUGUUUUUAUAAUAUCGUGUCAAAGAAGAAAAUUUUCUUAUUCAGAAUUUAUUUGUAUAUGUGUAUUUUUAAUAUAUGUAUAUAAAUUUAAAGAUGAUAAAUUUAUUUAUGUUUUAAAUAAUGCAACCUCAGAUUAGGUGAGACUACCCGCUGAAUUUAAGCAUAUUAAUAAGGCGGAGGAAAAAAACAA